rnacentral:rRNA from 1 species
AGAGUUUGAUCCUGGCUCAGGACGAACGCUGGCGGCGUGCCUAACACAUGCAAGUCGAACGGAGUUAUUUGUUUAGAUCCCUUCGGGGUGACGAACUUUUAACUUAGUGGCGGACGGGUGAGUAACGCGUGAGUAACCUGCCUCUGAGAGGGGAAUAACGUUCUGAAAAGAUCGCUAAUACCGCAUAACAUAUUGAAGUCGCAUGACUUUGAUAUCAAAGAUUUUAUCGCUCGGAGAUGGACUCGCGUCCGAUUAGCUAGUUGGCGGGGUAACGGCCCACCAAGGCGACGAUCGGUAGCCGGACUGAGAGGUUGAUCGGCCACAUUGGGACUGAGACACGGCCCAGACUCCUACGGGAGGCAGCAGUGGGGGAUAUUGCGCAAUGGGGGCAACCCUGACGCAGCAACGCCGCGUGAAGGAAGACGGUUUUCGGAUUGUAAACUUCUUUUGUCAGGGACGAAAUCUGACGGUACCUGACGAAUAAGCUCCGGCUAACUACGUGCCAGCAGCCGCGGUAAUACGUAGGGAGCAAGCGUUGUCCGGAUUUACUGGGUGUAAAGGGUGCGUAGGCGGCUUUGUAAGUCAGAUGUGAAAUCUAUGGGCUCAACCCAUAAACUGCAUUUGAAACUAUAGAGCUUGAGUGAAGUAGAGGCAGGCGGAAUUCCCUGUGUAGCGGUGAAAUGCGUAGAGAUAGGGAGGAACACCAGUGGCGAAGGCGGCCUGCUGGGCUUUAACUGACGCUGAGACACGAAAGCGUGGGUAGCAAACAGGAUUAGAUACCCUGGUAGUCCACGCUGUAAACGAUGAUUACUAGGUGUGGGGGGACUGACCCCUUCCGUGCCGGAGUUAACACAAUAAGUAAUCCACCUGGGGAGUACGGCCGCAAGGUUGAAACUCAAGGAAUUGACGGGGGCCCGC